UACGAAGGGGGCUAGCGUUGCUCGGAAUCACUGGGCGUAAAGCGCACGUAGGCGGAUUGCUAAGUCAGGGGUGAAAUCCUGGAGCUCAACUCCAGAACUGCCUUUGAUACUGGCGACCUUGAGUCCGGGAGAGGUGAGUGGAACUGCGAGUGUAGAGGUGAAAUUCGUAGAUAUUCGCAAGAACACCAGUGGCGAAGGCGGCUCACUGGACUGGUAUUGACGCUGAGGUGGCGAAAGCGUGGGGAGCAAACAGGG
rnacentral:rRNA from 1 species